rnacentral:rRNA from 1 species
AAGCUCGUAGUUGAAUUUCGAAUGUGGCUGGGCGGUCCGCCUCACGGUGUGUACUGUCUGGCUGUGUUCUCUUUCUUGGUGAGCCGGCAUGCCCUUUACUGGGUGUGUUGGGGAACCAGGACGUUUACCUUGAGAAAAUUAGAGUGUUCAAAGCAGGCCUACGCCCGAAUACAUUAGCAUGGCAUAAUAAAAUAGGACGUGCGGUUCUAUUUUGUUGGUCUCUAGAGCCGCAGUAAUGAUUAAUGGGAUAGUUGGG